rnacentral:tRNA from 1 species
GACUCCGUAGCUCAGCUGGUAGAGCAAAUGACUCUUAAUCAUUGGGUCCUGAGUUCGAAUCUCAGCGGGGUCA